AAAAGGUUGCCCGAAAAGAAAAAAGGGAGGAAUCUGUUGGAGGACAAUUGCUUGAGGACGUCAAGAGGACCGUUCAAGAAGCCUUGGCUAGCCACGGAGACAAGGUUUCAAAAGAGAAGAGAGAGUAUAUGUUGGCAGAUCACUACAUAAAGGACCUGAUCGAAGAGCCCAACUUUAAAGCCAUGUGCUUUAAGAUUGUGUCAAAUCUGUGGGACAAGAGCGUAAGGAUGACACUGUUCUUCAAGGUGCAGAAGAAAAACCCUCCUCCUGUGCAGAGGAUCAUCAGCAAUGAUGAAAUCCAAUUCAUAUCACAGAUCCUCCGAAAAGCAGCCGAACAUCCAAACAUGACCGAGGAGAAGCAAAGGACAUGGCAUGAGGGAAAGUUAAUGAUAAAGUGGAUAUCCGCCAAACUAGCCAAUGACCGCUACGAAAAACAAGACAAGGAGGAACUUUCGUGAAAAUAUUACAUUUUUCUGAAAAAUA